rnacentral:snoRNA from 1 species
CAAACACCAAAGAUGAAACGAUUUUCGGAUGUAAACGAGCUCACUGAGCUCGAGUGUCCGAGAGCGCAAAACCCAUGUGGAUUAUUCCGUUGCCUUCCUUCUGACCCUCUCU